rnacentral:lncRNA from 1 species
UAGGCUGUAGACGUGGGGAUUUCAGUAGGAAACAUUAUGGAUCUGUGGAGCUGCUCAUCUCUAGUGAUGCAGAUGGAGCCAUCCAAAGAGCAGGAAGAUUCCGAGUGGAAAAUGGCUCUACAGAUGAGAACGCAGCUGCUCUGCCAGGCACUUGGCGAAGGACAGACGUGCACUUAGAAAACCCAGAGUACCACACCCGGUGGUAUUUCAAGUACUUUUUAGGACAAGUCCAUCAGAAUUACAUUGGAAAUGAUGCCGAGAAGAGUCCCUUCUUCUUGUCUGUCACACUCUCUGACCAGAAUA